rnacentral:rRNA from 1 species
UGUGUAGGUGGAUUCCUAAGUGCCUUGUGAAAUCCCACGGCUCAACCGUGGAACUGCUUGGCAUACUGGGAGUCUUGAGCCAUCUAGGGGCAACUGGAACAGACGGUGGAGCGGUGAAAUGCGUAGAUAUCGUCUGGAACGCCAAUGGUGAAGACAGGUUGCUGGGGAUGUGCUGACACUGAGACACGAAAGCCAGGGGAGCAAACGGGAUUAGAUACCCCGGUAGUCCUGGCCCUAAACGAUGUCCACUAGAUCGUAGAACUUUUGACGGUUUUAUGGUCGAAGUAAAGAUGUUAAGUGGACCGCCUGGGAAGUACGGUCGCAAGGCUAAA